GUACUGAGUAAAUUUAUUUUAUUUUAAUUUCAGUCCCUAGUCCUUAGUAUACAAUUGUACAGUGGCCAUUGAUUGGAAUUGAAGAAGAAAUAUAAUUUCAGAAAUUUCUCCAUACAAUCUCUUCUAGUCUUCAUUUUUCUAUGUAUUCCUUCAAAUUUUUGCCCCUCAAAUUAUUGGUCUUUAAUUUUUGUCCUUCAUCUAAAACUCCUAGGUUUGGGGUUCGAACCCCGCUCAGUCAAAAAUUUAAAAAAAAAUUCAGCUAGGCAGAACUUGGAUUCACUGAAUGAUAGAAUUGACUUCCAUGACUAUGGAAUAUAUGUUGGUCAUCUGGUUAGAAGAAUAAUUAGAAUCUUUCAAGUUUAGCUCUUGCCACGGUUGAAGAACGGCAAGUGUCUGUGGACGAAUUGCUUGAUGCUGAUGAAGUGUUCUGCACAGGAACUGGAGUGGUUGUAUCUCCUGUGGGCAGCAUUACUCAUAUGGGGAAAAGGUAUCUACAUAAAUUGGAAUGAAUCUAAAUAGCUAUAUUCAUCCAUAUACAAUCCAUUUCUCUGUGUUAUUUUUUUUGAGUUUUCUUUCCCUCCUGCCGCAGACCGUGAAAUGGCCAUGAACAUAUACAUCGGAUAGUGAUUUUGUAAAAUUAGUCGUUUUGUCAAUGUGUAAAUACCAAUGUGAACGUUCGUAUGUGUAUA